UGCCACCUCGUGCUUGGGUGCAUGGAGACCCUUUAUAAGGGGGCUGCAGCUCGUUUUGCACCAUUUCACCUGCAGCAACUUGGGUUAGAGAGAGAAUCUAGAGAGAGAAAGUGUAGAUUUGAGUUCCUCGUAAUAGGCAAAGAUCGCCUACUUAGAAGAAACACAAAAAGGAAGUCGGUGUAAGAUGCAGGUCAGAAGACCUAUGCAGGAAAUAAUGCUCGAGCAAUGCUUUACUGUGAUUGGAUGCUGUUUGCUCAUAUUGAAAGUCUUUUGAGGCCAUGCCUUUUGUAUCAAGACUAAACCUUUUGUUGGAAUGAUGUAAUGUAUAUAUUUGUCAGAUACACUUGUAGUAUGGGCUACCCGUAGUAAACAAUGGGGCUUGGUAUAUGUAAAUUAAUGUUGUACAAGUUUCUUUUGUGAAACAAAACAUAUUUUGUUAACUUAAUAGUCACAAUGUUUAAUACAGGAUGUACUCUUUAUAA